AUUGAACGCUAGCGGGAUGCUUUACACAUGCAAGUCGAACGGCAGCGCGGACUUCGGUCUGGCGGCGAGUGGCGAACGGGUGAGUAAUGUAUCGGAACGUGCCCAGUAGCGGGGGAUAACUACGCGAAAGCGUAGCUAAUACCGCAUACGCCCUACGGGGGAAAGCAGGGGAUCGUAAGACCUUGCACUAUUGGAGCGGCCGAUAUCGGAUUAGCUAGUUGGUGAGGUAACGGCUCACCAAGGCGACGAUCCGUAGCUGGUUUGAGAGGACGACCAGCUACACUGGGACUGAGACACGGCCCAGACUCCUACGGGAGGCAGCAGUGGGGAAUUUUGGACAAUGGGGGCAACCCUGAUCCAGCCAUCCCGCGUGUGCGAUGAAGGCCUUCGGGUUGUAAAGCACUUUUGGCAGGAAAGAAACGUCGCGGGCUAAUACCCCGUGGAACUGACGGUACCUGCAGAAUAAGCACCGGCUAACUACGUG
rnacentral:rRNA from 1 species